AAAGUGCCCUAUGUUUCCUGUUUUCUCCCUGAGGAGGUUCUGACGCAUCACAACCCAUAUCUUCUAUCAACUUUCCUUUUAGCUUGUUUACAAAAAGAAAAAGCUGAAUCAGCUGCUAGAGUGUGUAUGUAGGGCUACCAUCUAAAAGAAGUAGUUGCCCACAGCUGAGAUGGAAUCUCAAAUGUUUACUAAUCAGACAACAAGCCUUCUGCAUUUCUGUGUCUGAAUACCUCUCCCAACACAAUGAAAGAAAUCAAGUGGAAGCUCUGGAGCAAGUUACUGUAUGCCCAUGACACUGCAGCCUUUCAACAAGCAAAGACUUUUAGUCAUGUACAAGAUGUCCAAGAACAUCAUUAAAGACCACUAAGACUAAAAGAGUAAGGAUACAGAAGA